GGCUGGAUAGCUCAGUUGGUAAGAGCAAUGGAUUCAUAACCCAUAGGUCGGCGGUUCAAGUCCGCCUCCAGCUA
rnacentral:tRNA from 1 species